rnacentral:rRNA from 1 species
GGACCCGCACAAGCGGUGGAUUAUGUGGAUUAAUUCGAUGCAACGCGAAAAACCUUACCUACCCUUGACAUGUCCGGAAGCCUGGUGAGAGCCGGGGGUGCUCGAAAGAGAACCGGAACACAGGUGCUGCAUGGCUGUCGUCAGCUCGUGUCGUGAGAUGUUGGGUUAAGUCCCGCAACGAGCGCAACCCUUGUCAUUAGUUGCUACAUUCAGUUGGGCACUCUAAUGAGACUGCCGGUGACAAACCGGAGGAAGGUGGGGAUGACGUCAAGUCCUCAUGGCCCUUAUGGGUAGGGCUUCACACGUAAUACAAUGGCGCGUACAGAGGGUUGCGAAGGAGCGAUCUGGAGCCAAUCCCUUAAAGCGCGUCGUAGUCCGGAUUGCAGUCUGCAACUCGACUGCAUGAAGUCGGAAUCGCUAGUAAUCGCGGAUCAGCAUGUCGCGGUGAAUACGUUCCCGGGUCUU